rnacentral:rRNA from 1 species
UACGUAGGGGGCAAGCGUUGUCCGGAUUUAUUGGGCGUAAAGAGCGUGUAGGCGGCUUGGUAGGUCCGCUGUGAAAACUCGAGGCUCAACCUCGAGAUGUCGGCGGAAACCACUUGGCUAGAGUCCGGAAGAGGAGAGUGGAAUUCCUGGUGUAGCGGUGAAAUGCGCAGAUAUCAGGAAGAACACCUAUGGCGAAGGCAGCUCUCUGGGACGUACUGACGCUGAGACGCGAAAGCGUGGGGAGCGAACAGG